rnacentral:rRNA from 1 species
AUGAAGGGCGUGUCGGCGAUCCCCGCCGUGGCGAUCAUCCCUUCGCCGCUCUUCCUCUGGCGGGUCAAGGUUAUAUUGUUUCUCCUAUGGGGCUUGUGCUGUUGCAAGAUAGGGUGGGACUCGGUUAUGAGAAUGAGUGUUGAUCUGCGAGACUUAUUUCUAUACGAGGCUUUCUUAUACUAUAAUCCUCUUCUUCUGGUGGCACUGAUGAUUUGGUUAUGGGGAGUAAAUUUGUGGGUUUUCGCACAAUCAUCAGUAAAUUAUGCAAAGGUGUUUGAUCUUUCACAGACACAUUUAUCACACCGAGAAAUAUGGAGGUGUGCUACUUGGCUGACUUUAGUUGUUCCAACAAGUAUGACAGCUUACCUAUAUCUGUAUUCACAUGGUGAAGUGUCUCUUGCUGCAUCUCAACCAGUUCUUUUGUAUGCUAUCCUUCUGAUGAUCCUCCUUUCUCCUUUUGAUAUGUUUUAUUUAUCAUCACGCUUUUUCUUUCUGAGGACCAUGUGGCGUAUAGCACUUCCAUUACAAGCAAUUACAUUCCCUGACUUCUUUAUGGCGGAUAUUUUUACAUCCAUGUCAAAGGUGUUUUCAGAUUUGGAACGUUCAGGUUGUCGCAUGGUCCAUCGUCAGGUCGCGACAAUUGCUUGGUUUGAAGCAGAUUCAAUUUGUGGUAGCCACUCUGUAGCUAUUCCUCUAGUUCUGGUACUCCCUUAUUUGUGUCGUUUCUUCCAGUGUCUUCGACAGUACAAGGAUACAAAGGAGAAAACUUGUCUUCUGAACGCACUCAAGUACUCGACAGCAGUCCCUGUGAUCUUUUUAUCAGCUCUCAAGUAUCAUGUAUUUCCUGACGUAUGGAUUAGCUUUUACCGCCCCCUGUGGCUUAUUUCCAGUGUUGUGAAUUCACUGUAUUCCUUCUACUGGGAUAUAAAGCGAGAUUGGGAUUUGAGCAUUUUAACCAGGAUUUUCAUGUUCAAAAACCCAAGUGCAUGGAGCAAUCUUCUUUACGGGCGUAGCUGGGUAUUUUAUUGGGUGUUAGGUAGCAAUCUCAUUCUCCGAUGUACAUGGACAUACAAGCUAUCGGCGCAUCUUCGGCACAACUACCUGACAGUGUUUGCGAUAACAGCUUUGGAAGUGGUGAGGCGGUUCCAGUGGGUCUUUUUCCGCGUCGAGAAUGAGUGGAACAAGAUGACAGCCAAGCAAAAUUUUGAAAUGUCGUCUGAUGUGAUGCCUUCGGAAUCAGAUAGGCUACUGGAUUCUAACAGCCAUAAAGUCUGA